rfam:Ornithorhynchus anatinus chromosome 4, whole genome shotgun sequence.
CCCCUCUCAGGGUCGCACCUGGAGAGUUUCCAGUGCUUUACCAGUCUCGACUACGGGAGGGAGAGUCAAGCAGUGGCCUAUCCGUUCCAUCCCUAGCUUGGCCAGUGGCUAGCGAGUGGAAGGCAAUCAGCUACAAGU